rnacentral:rRNA from 1 species
GAUGAACGCUGGCGGCGUGCCUAAUACAUGCAAGUCGAGCGAACAGACGGGGAGCUUGCUCCUUUGACGUUAGCGGCGGACGGGUGAGUAACACGUAGGUAACCUACCUAUAAGACUGGGAUAACUUCGGGAAACCGGAGCUAAUACCGGAUAAUAUUUCGAACCGCAUGGUUCGAUAGUGAAAGAUGGCUUUGCUAUCACUUAUAGAUGGACCUGCGCCGUAUUAGCUAGUUGGUAAGGUAACGGCUUACCAAGGCAACGAUACGUAGCCGACCUGAGAGGGUGAUCGGCCACACUGGAACUGAGACACGGUCCAGACUCCUACGGGAGGCAGCAGUAGGGAAUCUUCCGCAAUGGGCGAAAGCCUGACGGAGCAACGCCGCGUGAGUGAUGAAGGUCUUCGGAUCGUAAAACUCUGUUAUUAGGGAAGAACAAACGUGUAAGUAACUGUGCACGUCUUGACGGUACCUAAUCAGAAAGCCACGGCUAACUACGUG